rnacentral:tRNA from 1 species
GGCUGUAACUCAGUGGCAGAGCGCUUGCUUAGCAUGCAUGAGGCACUGGGUUUGAUCCUCAGCACCA